UCUUUUGUGCAGUGGCAGUAUCCUAGCCAAUGAGGUUAAUCUGAGGUGUGAUUAUUGCUAGUUGAAAACUUUUCAACUGG
rnacentral:snRNA from 1 species